AUGACUUUGAUCUGCGUCCUCAUCUGGACUCUCCUCUGCUGCUGCUUCACAGAGUCCAGAGACCAUGUCACAGUGACUCAGCCUGGAUCAGUGAGGUCUGGUCUGGGAGGAACCGUCACCAUCAACUGUAGGACCAGUCAGGAGGUUCGUUUCCACAUGGUCUACAGCGGCGGCUACGUCUCCAGCAUUCACUACUUUUUAUCCUGGUACCAACAGAGAGAUGGAGGAGUUCCCAAACUUCUCAUUUACUAUGCUAACAAUAGAGCAUCAGGGAUUCCAGAUGGUUUUUCAGGCAGUGGAAGAAACUCUGACUUCACUCUGACCAUCAGUGGAGUCCAGGCUGAAGAUGCAGCAGUUUAUUACUGUCAGAGUCUUCAUAGCAUCAACAGUCAGUAUGUGUUCACACAAUGCAAGGGAAGAACUAAGAGCAUGUGCCAGAAGUAUGUUUGA